rnacentral:rRNA from 1 species
AACGUAGGUUCCGAGCGUUAUCCGGAUUUACUGGGCGUAAAGCGCGUUCAGGCGGUUUGGCAAGUCGGGCAUGAAAUCUCUCGGCUCAACCGGGAGAGGUUGUCCGAUACUGCUGGACUUGAGGGCAGUAGAGGGUGGUGGAAUUCCUGGUGUAGCGGUGAAAUGCGCAGAUAUCAGGAGGAACACCAAUGGCGAAGGCAGCUCACUGGGACGGUAUUGACGCUGAGACGCGAAAGCGUGGGGAGCAAACAGG